rnacentral:misc_RNA from 1 species
GAUGAAGAACGCAGCGAAAUGCGAUAAGUAAUGUGAAUUGCAGAAUUCAGUGAAUCAUCGAAUCUUUGAACGCACAUUGCGCCCGCCAGUAUUCUGGCGGGCAUGCCUGUCUGAGCGUCAUUUCAACCCUCAUGCCCCUAGGGCGUGGUGUUGGGGAUCGGCCAAAGCCCGCGAGGGACGGCCGGCCCCUAAAUCUAGUGGCGGACUCGUCGUGGCCUCCUCUGCGAAGUAGUGAUAUUCCGCAUCGGAGAGCGAUGAGCCCCUGCCGUUAAACCCCCAACUUUCCAAGGUUGACCUCAGAUCAGGUAGGAAUACCCGCUGAACUUAAGCAUAUCAAUAAGCGGAGGA